UGGGCAUCAUAAACUAUGACUUUACCUACUAUUUUUCUAUUCAUAUUGUGUGCUUAGAACUCUCAGUUUCUUAAACUUCCGGGCGUGGGAAUUCAUGUAUAACUCUUACCUAGAUUGAGUUGAGUGAAUGUGUCGACAACUUCAAAUUAGCUUAUGUUACUUUUUGUAACACAAGCGUUACGCUUUUGCUUUGGAUCAGGUCAGUUGAAGAUUUAACGUUCUUUUUCUGUUGUUACUAGAGUAUUGGUAUUUAUUUAGUUGUUCUAGAAUUAUGCAUAUUAUGUAUGUAGUCAUUUCUAUACUAUCCAGAAUGUCAAGUUUAUUAAAAGACCAUUUUCGAUAAGGUUUAAUAUCUGCCCCCUUUUUCACAAAGUUUAAAAAACAUAAUUUCAUACUGAUAUUCUAAAAGCAUAUAAAACUAAAUAUGUAAGUUACAGAAACCAAGAAUUUUUACAGCAUCAUUUAUUCCUCGUGUCUCUAUGACGUCAUGCAAUGGGCCGAUCCCACAAUCUCUCAAAAACACGCGUAUAGUAAUAUGAGUUUUUCUUCAUAUUCCAAAGUAGGAAAUAUAGAGCGUAUCGUUACUUCAAAACCAUUUCAACGUAUAUUAUUGCGCGUAUCAUUUUGUGUAUCAUAUUAGAAUACGGUUUUGGACCAGGGAUUCGCUCGAUGUUUCCUGUUUUAAAAAACUGAUAGGAAAUACCCAAUUUUCUUUUUGCCCAAAUCAAUACUUUUUUUGGAAUUAGAUCAUCAUUAAUAUAUGAAAUAUUUAUUAUGACAUCGAUUAGACAUUUUAUUUUUUUAAAUGUGACUUAUAUAUGUUUUAUUCUUUCUAUAUCAAAUUUCUUUUCACAACUUUAAAUUUUUAGGCAUAAAAAUACACUAUCCAGCACAUAGUUCUUUGUUUACUACAUGUACAUGUACAUGUUUAGUGCGAAAAUUAUAUCUACACUUAAAGAAAUAUAAUUGUAUUCAUAUUUUUUCUGUAUGUUCAGGUUCCUAAAAUAUUUGUAUCAAUUAACGGGUGCAACUGUGUAUCUAUUGUACUUGAUUUGUUAUUUAAAAUUGUUUAUCAAUUAAUCAUGAUAAAUUAUAUAUAAAUUUAAAAAACUC
rnacentral:sRNA from 1 species